CAUAUAAUAUAAGUAAGGAUUCUCAGUACAAAAUUAUUCCAUUCGGAUCUUUGAGGAAAACGGUCAACAUGAAAUAUUUUACGUUUGCUGUAGUUUGCAUUGCUAUAUCAAUAUUAGUAACUGAAAACCAAUGCUUCCCGCAACAAGUUGAAGUGUCAACAUAUCAGGUUCGAGUAGACGAAGUUACAGAGACGCAAGACUAUCAGGGGACAGAAGAUGAAGUGUUAGAAUCUGUAUUAAAUGCAGGUUGUCCCGAAGACAAAGUAAGAGUUGGCGAAGUUUGCACAGCGGAACAAUAAAAGAGGAAUUUCAUUUUUCUGUAGGUGAUGGGUUGCCGUCGCAGCAGGAAAGCGACUGAAGAUAUCCAUCCGAUAGACCACCAUCGUCUUCAACGUUCAAGUUCUUCAACCUCAGUAAAUAAAAUAAAAUGAAAA